CCGCUGUGAGAGCAGAGAGGAGGCACUGUUGUCUUUAGGCGUACAGUCUGUAUAUAAAGAAAGCCCCUCUGAGAUCCAUUGAACCUGUUCAACUCCCACUGGCCGUCAAUAUCGCGGUGAAACCUAACGUUACCUACCUUGCUCACACAAAAAGUUCCUGACGAGCACCGGAAUGAAACGGUUCUGUCGGUUCAGUGGAAACACCAUUGAGGAGGGGAUUGUUGCUCAUGAAAGACUGUGGAUCAUGGACACAGUCAGCUAACGAGGGCAAGCUUGAGUCUUCAAAUCCAUACAUUAGGAAGGAAGAGGAAAUAACAUCCAACAUAGACACCAUCAUCACAAAGGCCCAGCAGAGGAUGAACGUGCCUCAGGAGCAGCAGCCAUGGAUUUGAAAUCAACCUGUGGCCCUUUGCUGCAUGUCGCCCCUUCUCUCUCUUGUUUUCCUGUCUAUCUUCAACUGUCCUAUCUUAUAAAGGCAAAAAGCCCCCAAAAAUAUAUAUUAGAAAAAUAAUAAUAAUUACACAAUUUAUACAUUUAAAUGUAGAGCUUUUCCACAGCAUAUUCCUCUUUUAAAGUCUGGAAAUAAUUGUCUCAUUUGUUAUUGAAUAAAAUGUUUUUAUGCCUUUACCUA